UUUUUAAUUAAAUCAAAACGGGGGAAUGUUGGUAUUCUGUCUAAGCUCUACCCCCCACAGAUACCUGGGAACAGACCGGUAUGCUCCGCCCCACAGUUGCCUAGCAACAGUCAGAUGUGCCAGACUCUGUAAGAGGCUGCUUGCCCCCUCCUUUCCCUCUUACUUCUCUCUUUUUGUUCUUCUCUGUUCUUGCCCCCUUCACCCUUCCCACCACAUGCCCAUGGUCGGCCACCUUUCCUCUCCUCUCCUCUUCUUUCACUAAACCUUUCCACGUGGAACCAUGUUGUCUUGGUAUGUACUGUCCGGGCAUGGGCCGAUAUUUAAACAACAACAUUGGUGGCUCGCACUGGGUUUCUGAUUUCCCUGUGACUACUGCUUCCCCCAUCCCCACCUCUCCUGCCAGCCCCCAACCCCCAACUGGCGCUUCAGGCCAGCCACAGCAGCAGCAGCAGGAGACUGAGGGGAUCACUACUGCUCCUCCUGCACUUGUCCCGUCAUUCCAUCUACCUUUGUAUCCAUCACCGAGGCUCACACUGCUCGACAUUGGAUCGCUAUGUCUUUUAGGCCUCCACCACCACCUUCUGACUGCUAUGAGACUCAAGACUUCGACCACAUGAGUUACUGCUUCACCUAGCUCAUAAGUCAACUUCUCCGUGACCUGCUGCCUUCCAUGAAAGGUUUUGCUAGUUUUUGUCACCUAGACAGGUCUUACCCCACGGUUCUACACUCCAGCUACCAGAUUUUGGGCAUAAUUUCGGCACACACACACCGCCUUAUUGUUAGGCUUUUUCCAGUUGGCAGGGAUGACUUGCUUCCUGGGAUGAAACUUGGCCAUUUUUUUCCUGGGGUUCCAGGAAUCUCCUGCGCUAACACACUCUCGAUAGGACCUUGAUCAUUGGGCAGAGCUUCUCUUGAGAGUUGCCCCUCAUCCCUCCCCUAGCUCUCUCAGAUGACAUCCCUCUAGCUCUCUCAGAUGACAGGAAAUCCCAGGUCUGGGUGGGAAUGCUUUCUGGCAGGUCCGAGCCUCUAGGAAUCUGAGUGACAACUCAAAUACCUGGCCUUGGCAGAAUUCUUCCCAUUAAUUUUCCCUGUGACGCCAGUGGAAAUUAAUUGGUGACUUUCCCCAAUGGGAAAUUUGAGGUCUUUGACUGUACCCCCCACAUACACCGUUAGGAUGUCUUUUGGAGAAUUCCAAAACUUUAAAGUUAACCCCUCACCUGAAGACAUCAAAAUUGAUGCAUCUAUGCAAUAAUGUCUGGACCCAGUAUUCAUUAGACAAUGGUUCAAAAUGGCCGCAUAAUGGCACUCUAAAUGCCUCAAAUUUACGGGAUCUUCACAAAUACUGCCAGUAGUCUGGUAAAUGGAAAGAGAUUCUUUAUGUCCAAUCACUCAUAUAUCUUCGCUCUAACCCUCUCUGUGUUCCUCUUGUAACCCCAUCCAACUCCUCUUAGCUAUGAAACAGGCACAAGUUAUAGAACUCUGAUGUAACCAAUUAAUAUAGCCCUAAGUCUUCUCAGAAGUCUGGUAAUUAUUAGUAUAUUUAAGUUUGUGACAGACAGAAGUUCCCAAAGCCUUUAGCAGUUUGCCCCACAAGGUCUCAGAAGACAUGAACAUAGCUUCAGCAGUCUGCCUGGGUUGUGCUAUGACAACCACGGAGGGACACAGUGGACAAAGCUGGAUACCCUCAGAGUCAGAUGAUUUAUCUAAAUCAAGAUUACUGGAGAUACUGAUGUGAGAAAAGUGGAGGAUAUUUAAAAAUCUCAUGGGAAUAUAAACAUCUUCUAUAAAGAAGUAAGAUGGAGAACACACAGAGAACCUGACUUCAUUUCAAAAUACCACUAAAGAGAAAAGCCGAGUCAAAGAGAUGUCUCUACUCUGUCUACUGGAUCAGGGAGGACAGUGGCACGUACUCCAUAAACCAUGGAUCUUCUGGCAUUCAGUCCAGGGGAGCAAAACUCAGCGUUCUCUGACUCACAUUCACCCACCAUUUCAGCUCCACUGUCCUGACCCCAUCACUGCCUUGCCUGAGUGAGAGAAGAUGCACCUAACCCUGGAGAGACGUGAGGCCCCAGGAGUGGGAGAGCUGGCAGGAUGGGGUGGGUGUGGGGUGGGGACAUCCUCUUGGAGAUGGGGUUUGGAGGGAGGAGGAAUGGGAUGAGGAACUGUGGGAGGGCAGGAGUAGGGUAAAGACUGGGAAAAAAAAAAAGCAAAACCAUCUACCCAUAUUUUUUUUAAUUCAUCUUAUUUUACGUGUGAGUGUUUUGCCUGUAUGCAUUUAUGUGUACCAUGUGCGUGCCUAGUGCUCACAGAGGCUAGAAAACGGCACUAAUCUCCUGGGUGGUUGUGAGCCACCAUAUGGGUGUUGGGAAGCAAACCUGCGUCUUCUGCAAGACGAAUAUGUGCUCCUAACCACUGAGCUGCCGCCCCAGUCCCUGGACUUUUAUUCUGCAUCACAAAAUAAACUGUGAUUGAAGGUUAAUAUUGUAUGUAUCUUAAUAGCAAAUUAUACUUCAACAUGUAUUUUACAGCUCAGGUGUUUUGUUUGGUGUAGUUGAAUCGUCAGAGAGCAUAGAGUCUGUGCCAGAUCUCAGAUAUAAUUACCAGCUUGAACUCAGGCAAGUUAGCCUUGCUGGUCAACAGGGAACGUUGCUCUCAGAGGCGCUGAGAGGUCCAACACCCGACACUGCCUGUUACAGGUGCUGCACAGCUAAGUGAACCUGAGUUCAGCCUGCCUCCCCUAGCUUUAGAGUGUUCAUUACAGAGCAUUCUCAAGCUGUAAACUGCCUCGUUUCUUCUAAACACAGGUAACUGUUAUUUAGUUAUAACUAGUUUUUUGAGGCUCUAAUUAAAAAAUAUUGAUAAUUAUUCUAAACUUAAAGUCUGACAGUAUGUAUAUAUGUAAGGAAUGCACAUAACCAUCUUUGAGUUUUCCAAACUUGAGAUGAUGUAAUUGACAUAUAAAAAAUACAAAACCCUGAACACCCUUACCUAAAACAGAGCCUGACAAAGUCUCAGGCCCCAAUUUUCUGUUUUCAUUUAAUUUAAACAUUUCAUUUAAAUAUUCAUUUUUCCCUGAAUGAAGCUGACUUAUGACAUGGAAUUUUUAACAUUUUCUCUGGGUAAAAGGUAUGUAAAAUUUAAAAAUCAUUAAUCAAAUUAGCCCAUAAUUUGCACAUUCUACAAUCAAAUUAAGGUGAAGUAAUAAAUUGAUUCCUUUAGUAUUGUGUAUUGGCUGACAAUGUCCCCAGGAACUAUCACAGUUGCCAUAGAAAUCUCAUCUUACAUGUGUACGUUAUUAAAUGUAUACCUUUACUAUCAGUGAUUGUAUUUCACUUUCAGUGAUCAAAUCCCCCAUCUGCUAAUAUGGGAGUCUUCAAUCUUCCUGUGCUCGCAAUGCUCCUGAAAAUACUGUGUGAAUUUACACAACAGUGAAUUCAGUAUUCAUAGCUUUUCCUAGCAGAGUCUUCUGACAUGUGUGUUCACAUCCCACUUUCAGUCCAUUCAUAACUUUUCCUAGCAGAGUCUUCUGACAUGUGUGUUCACAUCCCACUUUCAGUCCAUUCAUGCUACUAAUGGUAUCAGAAUUGAGUACUCUUCUUGCUGUUAUAACAAAACCAAUGUAAGGAAGUGAGGGCUUAUUUGGUUCCUAAUUAGAGUACAGAGUCCAUGAUGGUGUAGAAGUCACGGCAGCAGAAGCCCGAGGCAGGAAGCAGAGAGCAGCAAAUGCUUAUGCUCUGCUGGCUUUUCCCCUUUGUGUUCAGGCUGGGAUCCCUGCCUCCGUAGUGGGCUGCUGUUCACUGUAACUGAUCUACAAACUACUCCUUCACAGAGGCACACAGAGGUUUAAUCCCAUAGGGACUUCUGGCAUCUGUCAAGCUGACAAUGAACAACAGCCACUACAGUAUCCAUAAGGGCUAGGGUAAAAAGUUUAAAAUUCCAAGGAUUCUUUAUUUAUCAUUAGGAAACAAAGUGUGUAUGUUUGUUUCCUGGCACUCAACCCAAGGCCUUGUGGUGGCUAGGCAAAUACUCCACCAUGGAUCAAAAAGGCAGUCUAUAAUUGAGAGUAGUCACUAACUUCCUCAUAGAUCCACCAUUCUGUCACCCAAAUGAAUGUCUCUCUUCAUUCUUCAUUUGAAAUUAAGUAUAAAAUAAAACCCAAUGCACACCAAAUACUAGAACUUCUUCAUACAAUGCACUUAUAGUUAGAAAUAAUGGGCAAUUGCACAAGGAAUAAUAUAGAAUGUUCCUGCAAACUGCACAACUAUGCUGUAUACCAUCAAAUAAAAUGAUUAAAAAUAAGGGAAACACUGGGAUUGGUGAGGUAACUGAGUGGAUGAUAGCAUUUGUUGCCAAGCCUGACAAGGAGACUUGGAUCCCACACAUUUACAUUAUAGAAGGGAAAAAACAACUCCCUCAAGUUAUUGCUGAUCAUCAUGUGAUGUUAUGCAUGAGGGCACACAUACAUGAAUGCAUUUAUGCAUAUAUGUAAACACAAAAUAAGUGUAAAAAUAGGUAGAGAAGCGAAUGGUGAUCAGUAGAUUUGAAGCUGAAAGUGGUCUUUUUCUUUGAAUUCUAUGAACAUACUGGGGAUUCAGAACCUGUUCCACAAUGUCUUGCUCCCCUCUAUCUCUUGUUUCCCAAAAGCUAAUGCACACAAUAAGCUCUUCUUUCUGUAGCUUGUAUGAACUUACGUUACUGGGCUGCUCUCUAUGUCCAACUGACCAACUGUGAGGAGCAAUCUAUUUCUGACAACCUUCCAAGUGCCACUUGGUUCUAUGACCUGAGAGUCACUGGGUUGUGCCAUUCUGAAGAUGUGUCAUGUCUGCACUCUCUCUCUCUCUCUCUCUCUCUCUCUCUCUCUCUCUCUCUCUCUCUCUCUCUCUCUCUGUGUGUGUGUGUGUGUGUGUGUUUCAAAUGUUAUCCCCUUUCCCAGUUUCCUGUCCAUAAUCCCCCUAUGCCGCCUCCUCCCCCUGCUUCUAUGAGGGUGUUCCGUGUCCACCUCCCCAACAACCCCUCCUUCCUGCCUCUCGACCCUGACAUUCCCCUACACUGGCUUGGCAGGACUAAGGGCUUCUUCUCCCAUUGAUGCCCAACAAGGCCGUCCUCUGCUACAUAUGCAGCUGGAGCCAUGGGUCUGUCCAUGUGUACUCUUUGGAUGUUGGUUUAGUCCCUGGGAGCUCUGGUUGGUUGGCAUUGUUGUUCUUAUGGGGUUGAAAACCCCUUCAGCUCCUUUAAUCCUUUCUCUAACUCCUCCAAUGGAGUCCCCAUUCUCAUUUCAAUGGUUUGCUGCUAGCCUCUGCAUUGUCAUGCUUAGGAGACAGCUAUAUCAGGCUCCUGUUAGCAUGCACUUCUUGGUAUUAGCUGGAUAUUAUCUGAGUUUGGUGGCUGUAUGUAUAUGGGCUGGAUCCAGAGGGGUGUGGGUGGGGCUCUGAAUGCCCAUUCCUUCAGUCUCUGCUUUAAACUUUGUCUUCAUAUCUCCUCCUAUGAAUAUUUUGUUUCCCCCUUUUAAGAAGGACUGAAGCAUCCACACUUUGAUCUCCUUCUUCUUGAGUUUCAUAUGGCCUGUGGAUUGUAUCUUGGGCAAUUCCAGCUUUUGGGCUAAUAUCUACUUAUCAGUGAAUGCAUACCAUGUUGUGUUUUUCUCUGAUUGGGUUACCUCACUCAGGAUAUUUUCUAGUUCCAUCCAUUUGCCUAUGAAUUUCAUGAAGUCAUAGCUGAGUAGUAUUAGAUUGUGUAAUGUCCCAGAUUUUCUGUAUCCAUUCCUCUGUUGAAGGGCAUCUGGGUUCUUUCCAGCUUCUGGCUAUUAUAAAUAAGGCUGCUAUGAACAUAGUGGAGCAUGUGUCUUCGUUGUAUGUUGGAGCAUCUUUUGGGUAUAUGCCCAAGAGAGGUUUAGCUAGAUCCUCAGGCAGUUCAAUGUCCAAUUUUCUGAGGAACCUCCAGACUGAUUUCCAGAAUGGUUGUACCAGCUUGCAAUCCCACCAACAAUGGAGGAGUGUUCCUCUUUCUCCACAUCCUCACCAGCAUCUGCUGUCAUCUGAGUUUUUGAUCUUAGCCAUUCUGGUUGGCGUGAGGUGCAAUCUCAGGGUUGUUUUGAUUUGCAUUUCCCUUAUGACUGAGGAUGUUGAACAUUUUCUGUCUUCCAGUAGGGCUGACACUCCUGAAAGCACAGGUGAGACCACCACUUCUGCUCACAUUCCUGGCCCAAGAGGAACCACCCUGGAGCCCUCAUGCUGCUUUUCCUUAAAGCAGCUUAUCAUUGUCUUAAAUAUCUGGGCUUUCAUUUAAAUGGUAUUUCACAGUUUAGCUAUAUUUUAAAUAGCACAGUAAUUACAACUUUUUACCUAGAAUAACAUAUAAGUUUAAAAAAAAAGCUUACAACACUGCAGUGUCUGACUGAUAAAUAGUGAUCUUAAAAAAUGUUGCAGAGAUUAGGGUUCCUAAAAAUAAGUGAAGGCAGGGGAUGAUCAGUAAAGGCUUAUAGGUUCCUAAAUGAAAAUUAUUGUUUGUUCUUUCAGUACAUCCUUAAUGCCUUUGGCUGCAUAACAGCUCAUUUCUGAGACUGUUUUUGGCCUCGUGACUUAAUCAUACCAGGAUGAGAUGGUUUAGCUCAUAUGCCUUUAGCAGUAAUGAUACAGUUAAAUGACUGAACAAUCAGAAACAGAAACUUAUCCCUGUAAGGAAAGCAGUUAGCACACAGGUCCACAGUUGACAUGAAUAUCACAAGUUACUUAGAAAUAUCAUAUUCAUUUUAGAUAUGUAAAGAAAGACUUCUACCAUGCCCUGUGAAAUAAAUUACAUUUUAUUAGUGCCUGAGUCUUUUAUAACUUUAAUUUUUUGCUUCAGGAGUAGAGAACAAAGACUGAGUAGUAUAUUUCACUGACAGGUUGACAAAUGGCUCAUUAGACACUUAAGGAGCUGAAGCUAAUUGUACAAUUUGGGGGUGGUGGUGGUGGUAUUAAUUGUGACUAUUUAACAAGAUAACACUGGUGGUCACUUUUCUCACUAUCUCACAAACCACUUGCAGAAGAAAACUAGGACGAAGGGGAGACAUGGCAGAGGAAUGCAGUGAUGGCCUGUCCCCACUGGGACACCAUAACAAUCCAUCUAUCUCACAAAGCAGUCACCUCGACAUCACCCAGCAGCCUAAGACAUGAGGUCAAACUUGACUGCCUAUGUACAUCCUGCAUGUGAUGAUGUCUUGUAGUUUACAAUCUUCUGCUAACAUUCCACAGUAAUGGCCUAUGGAUGAAGAAACAGAUGUAAUUUGCUAUACAUUUGCAUUAACAGAUCACUUAAUUCAGGUCUCUAUCCAACUAGAUUAUGCUACUUAAAUAAGGCUUCUUUCAAUGAAAGCUACCGUAACCACACACGGUUAUUAACUCUGAAUAAUAUUUUAAAGUUUUAUUUAUUUUUCUGUUAAAGGCUUAGAUGUUAAAAGCACCAAUCUAAGCUGCUUUGAAACAAGUUCAUUCACUUUUAGAAGAAAUAAUUCUGUGCACUGUAAGUUCUUGUUUUCACAGAUUUCUACCCUUCAGAUAUAUUAUAGAACAUGGCAUAUAUUAAGCCAUCCAUAUGGAAGGUAUGUGCUAAUAUUUAUGCCAAAACCGCUUAUAUUAAUAUAAACCUAAAAUCCUGUUAAAAUCAGGGAGAACUAUUAUUUUUAAAAUAUCACACUAAGUUUCUUUGGCAAAUACCAGAGACUCAAAUUUUAUGUUUCUUUUUACAAAAAUAAGGGAGAAAGGUUGUCAUGUAAAUACUGAUUUUCAACCUUGAGUUCAUAAACAAGGGUGCUAUUCACACUCUUUUGGAAAAAACUAAUUAUAUUUUACUAUCUGAAUAUGUUUUUAGAAGGAAAAAGAAUCCCUUAACAUUACCUCUUAAAUAGAGUUUUUCUCAUCUAAAAAUAAGGGUGAAUAAGUAAUGAUUUUUUCUUAUCCAAGUCGCUUUCUUUCCCCUCAAACAAACAACAAAUAAGCAGCCAACCAAGCAAAUAAACAAAAUCCAAAACAAACACCACCUCAUCCAGCCAUGCUAGUGACUAGCUUACUAUUACCAUCUCUACACAGUGUGCCCAAGACAAUCCUGAACGUAUACAGAAGCAUUUAGUCUCAUGAGCCCAGAUGCUCUGAGGAAACAGCGGUUCUUUUCAUAAUGCUAAGGGUCACAGCACUCAUUUAAUAUUAAUUCCCAGAAUUUAAUCAUGUAACUGCAAAUGAGUCCUUUUAUGAGUGGUGUGUGUGUGUGUGUGUGUGUGUGUGUGUGUGUGUGUAUUUCAUAUAUGGACAAGGACCUAUAUAUGAAAAUAAAAUAUAUUAUUAAGACACUAUUCUUCUGUGGUAAUAAAAAUUUGGUACUUCAAUGCAGUUUUGUUUUCUUCAAAUAAAAUUUAUAUUUAAGUUUCAAUUAAGUUUCAUUCAUUAAUAGUAUUUGAAAUGUUCGAAAACAGUGAUGGAGCCCUUUGUAGUGUUUUAAAAACUAUUUGCUAUAUUCAGGGCUGUUUCAUUUGUUGAAAAAAGAAAAAUAAGAAAAGGAAGACAGGGAAAAAAAUUAAGUAUGUUUUCUCGUCAAUGCAUACCGCACUGCUCUGUAUUACAUUUAUAGUCCACUACAGACAGGUGAAAAUUUCACCCUGGUACAGGAUUUAAACAAAUUAUGAGCUACAGAAAUGUGUCAUAAAUCAACUUCACAUACUGAACAAAAGAUAAACAACAGAAGAUUUAUAUUCUGACAAAAGGAGCAGUCUCUAACUCUAAUACAAAGCAGAAGGAAAGAAGAAAGUCCGCCCUGCUGUGCUACUGCAGCAGGCUCUCCCUGCCCUUUUUAUAUGCUAACUCAGAAUAGUAAUUAUGGAUCUUGUAAGUUGACUUCUGUUUCCAGAACUAUGAGUUGUAGUAAAAAAUGCCUUUUCAUGGAGACAAUUACCAUUAAUCAAAACACUGAGAACUAAUACCACUCAAAUCCAACCUACCGCUGUGCCCAGCAAUAUAUCAAACUGUCUGUUGUCAAACACACUAACAACCUUAAAUGGGCUGCUUCCACUACAAACAAAACCAAAAAAAAAAAAAAAAAACAAACAAACAAACAAAAAAACAAAAAACCUGCUAGCUAAGUAAUUUUAAAAUCCAAACUGCUAUCUCAGUUAUCCUUCCUGUCAUCAACUCCUCUUGCCUUUCGGUGUUCAGUCACAGCCCAGCAGUUGUCAGGUCACUACUCAGGUCUAGCAGGAGAAGCCACUGCAAAGACUGUGUUGCAGUGGAUCUGGUCAAUCUCUGAAUAUCCAGAACAGCAGGACACUCGGACAUGUAAUUAAUGAACUGUUUUUCGGGGCUUGAAAUGUUCCAUUUAUAAGCACAGUGUGAACAUAGAAAAGGUUAUUCUGUUAGACUCAGAAACAACAAACUUAUUUCUACAACAUCGAUACAAGGAACAAGUUUACAAGGUUCAUAAAGACAUUUUCUUAAGCUCUCGUUUGUAUGUGUUUGUAUGUAUACUGGUGUGCGUGCGUGCCUGCGUGCGUGCGUGCGUGCGUGAGAGAGAGAGAGAGAGAGAGAGAGAGAGAGAGAGAGAGAGAGAGAGAGUGUUUGUUAGCGGAUUUUCUUCCCACUAUGUGGGUCCCAGGUAUAGAACUGCCAGCCAGGCUGGUGGUUAAGUGCCUUUACCUACUAAACAAUGUUGCUGGCCCAAUUUACCUCAAUAAAAAAAUACUGUUUAAUUCUCUAAUUUCAAUAAGAGAGAAAAUGACAAAAGAAAUUUGCUGCUGGUAGCUUAUGUAUCCGAUAUUUCUAUCACCAUAUUUCAGUCUGCAACUCUCUCCACAAAGCUGCUGUCUGUAAAUAUCUGAGCUCCCUAACAACCCCGAAAGAGCACUGUUUUACUCACAUGCUUUCUACUCUGUUUCUUUAUUGAACCAAAAGUAUUUUGUAUCCAACCUCAGAAAAUGGGGAAGACUUUACAAUCAGAAGGCUUUGACGACAAUUUCUAAUUAGAAAAGAUAUCAAAGUAUCUUAUAAAAAUAACUGUAAAAUUUGGGAAAGCAAGGGGUUUUACCAACAGAGCAGGCAUUUAUGAACAGCGAAGUCUACCACUUACUCGUGUGCUUUGAAAGCCAAGACCCACCAGUGUAAGACAUUUCUUUUUCUACCAGUCUCGUUACUGCUAACCUCACGUUGCCAUGCUGCCUCUCUCUUAGUACAAAAUGGCCUUCCACAUUUAUUAGUAGGUAAUGCAUAUUGAUGGUGCCUUCAUGUAUACAAAAUAUUGUAACUGAACAUUUAUAAAAUAUAUCCAUAAUAUACAAAAAUGACAUGACAUGAAGUGAUUAAGUAAAGAUAUAUACAUGAACAAAUUGUUUAGGCUCAAAUGAUUUCUUUAGGUUUAUGUAGUAAAAGAUACCUCAAAUUUAGUGUAGAAGGUCAUAAAGAUGCUACACAGCCCACUAUAUUUUUACUGCUAGUGAUCCCCACAGAGUACAAAUCCAACCAGGAGAAGGGUCUCAAGUCCACUCUGAGGCACCCCAUUGUAGUUUAUUUCAGCAGUUUCCACAUUUACAAACCUCUUCGAUUAGAAUCUAUCACCAUUGUUCUGACCACCGUUUCUUCCCCCUUCUCAUUUAGGCAUAAACUGCUAUCUCUGUUACACCUUCCUUUAAAUGCUUAAUACAAAUAACCACAGGAGAAUCCCUUCUUCCCUUGAAAAACUGCAAAUAAAGAUGUCAGCUACUGAGUAUAUUUGCGGCGUCUCCGGCAGCUGCUGUUAAAUACCAGCUGGUCGCACUGAUUGAAAUUACCUCCGAGUUGGUACUGUAAAGAUGCCUGGGCAGCGCUGCUGUAUUAAUGGAUUAUUGAGUGAGCGAUGAAAACCUUGGCCAGCUGAUGCAUUUUAUUACAGAUAGGCUUUAUGAUGUGUAAUCACUGUAAUUUUUACAACGGGAGGAAAUAUGAAAAAGGGAGUAAACAAAAAUCCCCACAGAAACUGCCCUAAGUUGAUUAUUUCUCCCAGUCUGCUUCCUAGAAGGAAUCAAAGCACACAUCACUGGGAUAAGUAUAUAGGUGUGCACUUACACCCACAGUGUACCCACCCAUCGUGGGGACGAGCAGAGGAUGCUCACAGACAAAUAAUGUCUAAUUUAUGGGAGUGGAUAUGCGUUGUCUGCCAAGCCUCCCAAUCGGCUACAAUGGGAUCACAUGACCUAAGACACUCUUCAACUGCUCACCAGCUGGGCAGUAGCUGAAAAUCCAAUCUGGCCACCAGGACCGUGUGUGAAGUAUUAGACUCGGGAUCGCCUUGCUUUCUUCUCUAUUUGCCCGCACUGGGUUUCUUAUAAGCCAGCAUGGUUUUUGUUCUUAAUUUUUAAUAGAACUCUACCAAAUAGCCACCCAAAUCCUAAACCUUACACCCUAUGUUUACACAAAGGCAUGGCAGCCUCCUGGCUCAGCUGUUAUUUGUGAAGAAGAGAGCAGCACAGGACUGCACUCUAUCACUUUCCACAGCCCUCCAAAUCUACUCUAUUGAUGCCACUCUCCAGGCUACUGUGCUCCCAGCUGCUUUUUAAGAAUGAACAGUGACUCUCUGGAGGCUGUGGCCAAUUAAAAUAGCUCAAGUAGAAAAUAAACUUCACUGAAGUAUGCUACUGGAUGAGUCAGAGUCUUCUAGGGGAGGGCAGCUACCUCAGCUUGGAUCACUCUUUAGGUGAUUCACAAGCUUUUCGUGAAGUAAUAAUGCAAUGUUUACCAGAAAGUAAUAUCAAGUUUAUUGUUUUGGUUUUCCGGUAAAAUAAUUAAGAUUAACUUUCAUCAUAGCUAGAUUAAUACAUGAAAUGUGAUUGCAAAGUUAUGAUUCUUUCAAUAAAGACCCUGAAAUUUUCACAGGAGUCACUUACUCAGAAUUCUUUGCACGUUUUAAGACUACCUGUUAUACAUUAGUCUAUUCGUGUGCUGUUUUUGGAGGGUAGAAGAUGUUCUAAUGAGUACCUAACACUUCUAAUUAGAGUCAAAUGUGGUCAGUGAUCAUUGUGAAUAAUAAGCUCAUGUAAUAUUUGAUUAUACGAGUAUGAAGCAAGUGCUAAUGUAGCCUCUAUGCUAGUAAUGACAAUCUCAGAAAGGGAUUUCCAGAGGUAUUUUCAGCAAUGGCAUUUGAUUAAAAUAAUUAUUUUAAAACAUUAAAGUGACCUGUUUUAAAAGGUUCAUGAUAAGUUUGGAUUUUUAUUUAAUACAAUAUUUACUUCAAUAUUCAUUCAUAAUUACUUAAAGUUGUUUGAUUUUCAAAAGGAAAAAAUAUAGUAAUUAAUAUUACUUUUACAGGUGUGUAAAUUGAAAAUUAAGAGAACCGGAUGUAGAUCUCUCCUGAGAGACACACCCAGAAUACAGCAAAUACAAGGCGAAUGCCAGCAGCAAACCACUGAACUGAGAACAGGACCCCCAUUGAAGGAAUCAGAGAAAGAACUGGAAGAGCUUGAAGGGGCUCGAGACCCCAUAUGUACAACAAUGCCAAGCAACCAGAGCUUCCAGGGACUAAGCCACUACCUAAAUACUAUACAUGGACUGACCCUGAGCUCCAACUGCAUAGGUAGCAAUGAAUAUCCUAGUAAGAGCACCAGUGGAAGGGGAAGCCCUGGGUCCUGCUAAGACUGAACCCCCAGUGAAUGUGAUUGUUGGGGGGAGGGCGGUAAUGGGGGGGAGAAUGGGGAGGGGAACACCCAUAGAGGAGGGGAGGGGGAGGGGUUAGGGGGAUGUUGGCCUGGAAACCAGGAAGGGGAAUAACAAUCGAAAUGUAAAAAAAAAAAAAAAAAAAAAAAAAAGAAAACCAGAGACAACUUCUGGAGCAAAGACUGAAGGAAAGGCCAUCCAGAGACUGCCGUACCUGGGGAUCCAUCCCAUAUACAGCCACCAAACCCAGACAAUGCCAAGAAGUGCAUGCUCUGACAGGAGCCUGAUAUAGCUGUCUCCUGAGAGGCUCUGCCAGAGCCUGACAAAGACAGAGAUGAGUGCUCGCAGCCAACCACUGGACUGAGCACUGGGUCCCCACAACAUAUCAACCAACCAGAUCCCUCCUUCCCCCGAGCUCCCAGGGACUAAAGCACCAUCCCAAGAGUACACAGGGAUGGACCUAUGGCUCCAGUCACAUAUGUAGCAGAGGAUGGCUUGCCAGGCAUCAAUGGGAGGAGAGGCCCUUGGUCCUGCCAACGCUAGAUGUUCCAGUGUAGGGGGAUGUCAGGGCAGGGAGGUGGAGGGAGUGGGUGGGGAACAUUCUUAUAGAAGCAGGGGGAGGGGAGAUGGGAUAGUGGGUUCCUGGAAGGGAAAUGGGAAAAGGGGAUAGCAUUUGAAAUGUAAAAAAAAAAAAAAAAAACAAAAACAAAAAAACCACAAAAAAAAAAACGAUAAAAGAAAAGCAGUGAUAUUAUCCAAUCCAACGCAAAUAAAAAGCAGAAAAUGGAAGAAACUAAGAAAAUCA